GGCGGCAUGGCCAAGUGGUAAGGCAGAGGACUGCAAAUCCUUUAUCCCCAGUUCAAAUCUGGGUGCCGCCUCCA
rnacentral:tRNA from 1 species